AUUGAACGCUGGCGGCAGGCCUAACACAUGCAAGUCGAACUAGUCUCGGACUGGUGAUUCCUGUCUGUGAAACUGCCCGCUGGAGUUGGAUCACUACUGGAAACGGUAGCUAAUACCGCCUACCCUCCUAUGUUCCCAGAUGGGAUUAGCUAGUAGGUGGGGUAACGGCUCACCUAGGCGACGAUCCCUCGCUGGUCUGAGAGGAUGACCAGCCACACUGGAACUGAGAAACGGUCCAGACGCCUACGGGAGGCAGCAGUGGGGAAUAUUGCACAAUGGGCGAAAGCCUGAUGCAGCCAUGACGCGUGGAUGAAGAAGGCCUUCGGGUUGUAAAGUACUUUCAGCGAGGAGGCGGUAAUCGAAGAAGAAGAACCGGCUAACUCCGUGCCAGCCGCCGCGGUAAUUG
rnacentral:rRNA from 1 species